UAGUGAUUACCAUAUGAGGUGACAUCAUUGAGCGUGGUGGAUACAUUUGUAGUGAUUACCCUAUGAGGUGACAUAAUUGGGCGUGGUGGAUACAUUUGUAGUGAUUAUCAGAUGAGGUGACAUCAUUGAGCGUAGUGGAUACAUUUGUAGUGAUUACCCUAUGAGGUGACAUCAUUGAGCGUGGUGGAUGAAUUGGCGUCUCCGUUAUACUGUGAUGAAGGUAGUUUGCGUCAGCUGAAGACAUAUCUGAUAUACGCCUGAGGCUAUCGAGACUGCCAUACUACCGCGGGCUAAAGAUACAUCGAUCUUCGACUAAAUUCCAUGCCAAACGCAUAUAUAAAGGUAUCUGCCGAUAGGAAAUCAAUAUAAGUGGAUCAGACGCAGACAAGGAACAGGACGGUAUUAAGAUGUUGCGGCUAAUUUGCCUAUUACCAUGCCUUGUAGCCUUGACAACGGGUCGAAUGAUAUAUAAUCCAUACAAUGUGCAAAGAGUGAUGAAUCCCUAUCAAAACAACUACGGGUAUAACCCACUGGCGAAUAUAGCUGGCAAUGUACACCAACUGGGACAUCAUAGGAACAACUUUCGGGGGAAUGGUCAAGAGAUAAGCAGUCAAUUUAUAAGCGACAUACAAGAAAGAAACGAACAGAUGAUCAGCGACUUACGAUCGAGGGAAGAACAGCGGAUGAGUGACUUAAGGUCACAACAAGAGCAGCUGAUAAGCGAUCUAGGUGGAUCUGAAUUGGAACCUCGGCUCACACAACAAUGGUGGUGAAUUGAUAAAUACUAAACAAGCGAUUUAUUCUUCAAUACAAAGUAGUCCAAUCGUAUUCUUUAUGCAGAUUUUUCUCAAAUACCUUUUACUUAGUAAAUGAUAUAUUAAUUAUAAUAUAAUUGCAAUUAUAAACUGAA